UACGGAGGGGGCUAGCGUUGUUCGGAAUUACUGGGCGUAAAGCGCGCGUAGGCGGCUUUGCAAGUUGGGGGUGAAAUCCCGGGGCUCAACCUCGGAAUUGCCUUCAAGACUGCUUGGCUUGAGUUCGGGAGAGGUGAGUGGAAUUCCCAGUGUAGAGGUGAAAUUCGUAGAGAUUGGGAAGAACACCAGUGGCGAAGGCGGCUCACUGGCCCGCAACUGACGCUGAGGCGCGAAAGCGUGGGGAGCAAACAGG
rnacentral:rRNA from 1 species